GGGCCCGUGGUUCAGUGGUAGAACGCCUGCAUGGCAUGCAUGAGACGGGGGUCCGAUUCCCCCCAGGUCCA
rnacentral:tRNA from 2 species